rnacentral:lncRNA from 10 species
CUGUAUUGCAGUCUGCUAUAUCAAUUUCCCCCAGUGGAUCAACUCUCCUGGUAUUGACACCAUUGUGUAACCACCUCCCCUUGAAGCUGGGCUGUUCCUCUGAUUUGCUUUAACCAGUAGAAGGUGGAAGAAGUGGAGUUGUGCCAGUUCUGGCCUAAACCUUAAGAGGUCCUGGAAGUCUGCUUUCUGCUCUUGGGAGCCCUGAGCUGCCACAGAAGAAAUCUGUUUGCUGUGCUACAGCGACCAUGUGGAGAGGCCAUGUGGAGAGGGAGGGAACCUGCGACUCCAUGAAGGAGAACUGAAGAUCCAGCCACCAAUGAGAACUGAGGAUCCAGACACAGGACCACAGGCACAAAGGCUUCUGCUCUAGAACUCCCUUCUUCUUACUCCUGAAAUGUUGGAUGAUGCUAUGGGAAACAGAUGAGUUUGUCCAGGGAACCAUGUGGAGUACGAACAGAGGGAAGGCAAGAAAGGAACUCGUCAAACGGAUCGAAGAUAAGAGAUGGAUGGGCCCGGGACAUCUUCCCCAGUGGCUCUUGUCCACGGGACACCUGGCUUGUACCCACAGAAAGUUGGCUUCCAGCCAUGCUUGAGUGAGAACAGUGAGGGCCCUUGCCUUCCUACAGUGAGUACUCGAUAAAUGAUCACUGCCAUUGUCACAUAAUAAUGUGGCUAUUAUGAUCAUGGACAGAGCAAAAAUAAGUGACUAUUUUUCAAGAGUCUAUUUGGUGUAGACUUCUCCAGAGGCAGAACUGUGGAAUAAAAUUAUUUCUAGUGGUCCCUCCCAGCCCCUUGGCUCCAUAAUUCUCCCACUUUAAUAUGUGACUAGUAAUUAAGAACUAUCUUGAAAUUUUGAUUUCUGGCCCAGAGUCUAUCAUUAUACUUCCAAAUUUUAUUGAGAAAAUAUUUGAAGCCAAAGAGAGAUUUUCAAUUUGUUGACUUUAAAAGAAGCAUUAUUCAUAUUCAUCCAACAAAUAUUC